rnacentral:lncRNA from 1 species
GCUAAUGAAAUUCACAUAAAAAACACUGAAAUACAUAAGUACAAAGGCAUACACAUUAUUAUUCGUUUGCAGUUUUACAAGUUCACGUAAUACAAUGACGUUCACAUAGUACAAAAGUUUUACAAGUCCACAACCAACUUAUGUAUCUACGCCUAGUCAUCUCGAGCAGUCUACAAAUCUUGAAAUGCGAUGUCACUUCUAUAUAUAUGUUUGACGGGUAUCAUAAGUAACCUGUAUGACAAACAAAAAUUGGUUAAUGCAUGCAAGUAAUAUACUCCCUCCGUUCCUAAAUAUAAGUAUUUUUAGAGAUUUUAACAUAGAUUACAUACGGAGUAAAACGAGUGAAUCUACAUUCUAAAACAUGUCUAUAUGCAUCCCUAUGCAAUGCAAUGUUGAAAUCUCUACAAAAACUUAUAUUUAGAAACAGAGGAACUAGCAUAUUUUUUUUUCCUUUAUUGAAUGUAGUUGAGAAGAUGAUACCCCUGCGCCUCAUAUAGGAUGUUGCGGCAGACAAACAAACAUGAGUCCAUAGUUGCUGCCAUUUAUAUAUCUCUAAAGCACAUAGCUAAGCGCAUGUUCCUUUUGUGCAGUGCAACUAAAAUCGAUCUGCAUGUCGAAAAUACGGCCAGGUUAUUGAAAAUAUAAAGCAAGCCAUUCAGCAGCACUUAGCAGAGAAGUUUAAGCAAUUUCCAGUUGCAGACAAGUUAAACCAACGGGGAUGAAAGUAGGCUAAUCGAUAGGACAACCUCUUCUCGAUCCGAGGCCUGAAACACAAACACACACGUCGCGGAGGACGACAGGCCGACGACGGACCUGCUCCCCGCUCCCACCCCAAGCCACUGCCGGCGGCCACUCCGGCCCGGCGUCCACCAGCCGAAGCCCGCCUCCUGGGGCAUGUCAUCUCCAGCGCCUUCUGGUGGGGGCCGUCUCCGUGAGCUGCGCUGGCUGGAGGAUAGCCCGCCGCCCUCGGUGAGCCCGCUCCGCUCCUACCGCCAGGCGUUCUGCGACGAGCCCGCGCCUUCCCAUGUGCCGGCGACUGUGGUCGCCCCAGGCGGAUCCCGCGCUCGGAGAUCCACCGCGUGCUCCCGGUCAGUGGCGGAGCUACAAUGAAAAAACUGGGCGGGCCAAACUAAUGAAGAGCACAAAAAAAAUAUGAAAAUUUGAACCAUAUACUAUUUCAGUAGGCAUAGACAGUAUGGAGCUGCAUACUUGUUCUCAUUGAUUAGAAGAUGCACACACAUAUUUAUGUACAUAUAUACUAGUACUAAACAAAAGAAGCCACAGUAGCUUACCAUCAGUCAUGGUCAUCAUGGAUUCAUGGUACAAAUCAGCUUUCCGAUCCUGGGUCACCUGUGCUGUUACAUACUACUGUACUCUACAAAUCAAGAGAGGAAUUCACCUAUGUCUGGGUCACCUGCAGCACGGCAAUGACGCCGGAGUGGUCAUUCGUCACAAGGACCGGCAGCUCAAUAGCAGCCGCUGCUUGUUACUCUGCUUGCUGCUGCUGCUGCCGGAUCGCCACUGGCCGGGUCGCCGCUGCAGCUACUGCGGCCACAUCAGAUGGAGGAUGCUGGGAUGCGGGAUGGAUUGCUACUGGGAAGGGUAGGGGCUAGCUCCGACUAGCCGGACCUCUGCCGUCGGCCGGCGCCGUGCCCUAGUCGUCCUAGUGGAGUCCCUGAA